rnacentral:lncRNA from 1 species
GUUUGGUUACGCGUCCAAAUAGUUUCGAUGUCGAAUUCACCGAAUGUUAAUAAGCUACAUAGUUUAGCUUCACACUAAACGCAUGGUUGCAUUCACGCCACAUCUGUACCAAACACUGGCUAAGUCAUAACAUUGAUUCCUAAUGAACAAGAACAAAUUAAACAAUAAACUAGUAAAAUAACUAAUAGAUCGAACAGGCACAUACAUAAUCAAGAGAAAUAUUAGAAUGUUAUGGAUACUUUAGAGAGUUUAGUUAAAAUUAAUAAAAAGUUUUACCAUUCUUUUAUAGUUUCCACUCUAAAGUAUCCAUAACAUUUUAAUAUUGAAAAUAGGAAUCCGGAAUCCACCAAAAAUUGAGAAAAACUUUCUAAAAUAUUAUUCAAUAAAUAAAAAGUUUCCUCCUACAACUGUUAAGUUUAAAUAGGAAAAUAACAAAACCCAACUGGGCCAAAAAUAAUAAACUAAAACAAAAAAAGGAAAUUACUAAAAUGCUAAAAUAAAAAUAUUUUAGAAAAUAUUAUGGAAACCCUCCUACAUCAAUCAUCUAUACGUAUUGCUUAUGUUGGUGAGAAUAAUAAAAUUCAUUGUUGAAUAUGUUCUUUGUUUGGUAAAAUGAUGAAAGUAUUUUAUGAACGUAUCCAAUCUGACGCAUUCUAUUUUUUCUUUAUUGUGGUAUUGUUGUGUGUUUGUUACUGUUGAAGAUUAAUUCAUAUUUCAAUCUUAGUUAGUAGGUUUAGUUAGUGAAGGUGUUAACCUAACUUUAGAGAGUUUUUUUUCAAUUUUUGGUGGAUUCCGGAUUCCUAUUUUCACAAGUUUUUCGCUUGCCAACUUAUUUAUUUCAAUCAAGGUUUAGCGCUUGCUAGCCUACGCUUCUAAUUGCGUCAGUUGGUAUCAGAGCAGGUUUCUCCCGUUCUUUUCCUAACUUAAUCAGCCAUGGGACACUACUAGAAAAAGCAAAAUUAGCGAGGGAAAUUAGUGACCGAAAAAAUGAAAUUCCUCAUAAAUUUCUUGGUCGCAAAAUUUAGUGACGGAAUUAGAGAGGGAUUUUACGUUUUCCCUCACUAAAUUUAAUUUUUUUAGUAGUAGGAGAUCAGUGAGUGAAGAAAAUCACGGCUUUAACUGUGGCCGUCAAAGCUUUGUCAGAUCAGAUGGCGUUCCACGUGGUAGAAACAAUCGAAUUGUUGAGGAUUCAAGUUCUUUAAAGAUAGAGAAAACUGAUUUCGAAGAGAAAAUAUCAAAUCACUUGAAGAAGCUGCAGAUUUUACAAGAACAUGUCAAUUCAGUUAAAUCUAUUGAAAAGGAUCACAAAUCAAGAAAGUGGAGGAGGUAAAACUACACGUAUGGAUGCAAAAGGGAAAAUAACAAGUUUAAUUAGUUGCUAAAAAUUAAAGGACUAUAACUUGGCAACCAAAAUAGAGGAAGCAAUAAAAAAUAACGAGAAUUUGGAGGCUAUCACACAAGAAAGUAUCUGAAUAGAGGCAACUAGGUUGGAAUAUUCAAUGCCUCACACUUAUUGGGUUACUUAUGUUUCUCAUGUGGAUGUGUGGGAUAUUCGCGGUGGAAGAGCAUCUAUUACAUUCCUUCAAUGGCAUAUAAUGUCACCUGCUAUGUUUUCCAAAGCGUACCAUCUUUUCAUUUCAUUCAAUGGGACCUUGGAGGGUGGUCUCCUGUUCAUUGGAGGAGUCAACAUGCAUGAGAAGUUCUUUAUUAGAGGUCGAGUUCUUUAGAGGUGGUGGGGCUGACGUAUGAGGGUUUCCAUAGUAUUUUUAUUUUAGCUUUAGUUUUAGUAAUUUUCUGUUUGUUAUUUUUGGCCCAUUAGGGUUUUGUUAUUUUCCUAUUUAAGCUUAACAGUUGUAGCCUAGGAAGAAACUUUUAUUAAUUCAAUAAUAUUUUAUAUAGAGUUUUCUAACAGUUGUAGCCUACGAAGAAACUUUUAUUCAUUCAAUAAUAUUUUAUAGAGUUU